GCUGGUGUGGCUCAAUUGGUAGAGCAGCUGACUUGUAAUCAGCAGGUUAUGGGUUCAAGUCCCUUCACCAGCUCCA
rnacentral:tRNA from 1 species